CCUACGGGAGGCUGCAGUGAGGAAUAUUGGUCAAUGGCCGGAAGUCUGAACCAGCCAAGCCGCGUGAGGGAAGAAGGCACAGCGUGUCGUAAACCUCUUUUGUCAGGGAACAAAAGGCGGGACUCGUCCCCUCAUGAGGGUACCUGAAGAAAAAGCAUCGGCUAACUCCGUGCCAGCAGCCGCGGUAAUACGGAGGAUGCGAGCUUUAUCCGGAUUUAUUGGGUUUAAAGGGUGCGCAGGCGGUCGUUUAAGUCAGGAGUAAAAUCGCGGGGUUCAACCCCGCCGAGCCGUUGAAACUGGGGGCCUUGAGUGGGGUGGAGGCAGGCGGAAUGCGCGGUGUAGCGGUGAAAUGCUUAGAUAUCGCGCAGAACCCCGAUUGCGAAGGCAGCGUGCCGUGCCGCCACUGACGCUGAGGCACGAAAGCGUGGGGAUCGAACAGGAUUAGAUACCCUUGUAGUC
rnacentral:rRNA from 1 species